GAUGAACGCUGGCGGCGUGCUUAACACAUGCAAGUCGAACGGAAAGGCCCAAGCUUGCUUGGGUACUCGAGUGGCGAACGGGUGAGUAACACGUGGGUGAUCUGCCCUGCACUUCGGGAUAAGCCUGGGAAACUGGGUCUAAUACCGGAUAGGACCACUUCUUGGAUGUUGUGGUGGAAAGUUUUUUCGGUGUGGGAUGAGCUCGCGGCCUAUCAGCUUGUUGGUGGGGUAAUGGCCUACCAAGGCGUCGACGGGUAGCCGGCCUGAGAGGGUGUACGGCCACAUUGGGACCGAGAUACGGCCCAGACUCCUACGGGAGGCAGCAGUGGGGAAUAUUGCACAAUGGGCGCAAGCCUGAUGCAGCGACGCCGCGUGGGGGAUGACGGCCUUCGGGUUGUAAACUCCUUUCGCUAGGGACGAAGCGUUUUGUGACGGUACCUGGAGAAGAAGCACCGGCUAACUACGUG
rnacentral:rRNA from 1 species